AAUUAAAUUUAUUAGAGUUUUAGCUCAAAGGCAUGAAUUGUACUUGAUGACCGUCAAAGUGGAAUUAAGUGUUUUGCUAGCUAAUUUUGAAGAAAAAUGAGUCUGUAUUGUUAGAUAGUGAAGUUUUGAUUUUCUUGCUCAAUCACUAAAAUAAGAAAAAAACAAAAAGAGAACUGUAAUGUGGAUCUAGUCCAUAUUUACUGCUACCAUCCACCGGCCAUUAAAACGUGAAAACCACAGCACAUAUUGGCAGGGUGCAUCGGGCGGUUCGAAGAAAUUGAUAAGAGUCUCUGUGACGCGGUCCGUCAUCAGCAUAUGAAGAGGACGAAGAGGUAAAAUAGUGAUGUCCAAAGCUAAAGUCUCGACUCCGGCGAGGGGCAUUUGUCGAAAAAUGACAGAUCAUGGCAGAAAAGCCUCGGCCUCGGCAAACUCCAUUUGUCGUCCAAAUGCCGGUGACAGAGGCCGAAGACCUUUCAGCCUAGGGUUUUUGAAGUCGCUGAUUCCAUUUCUAGUGUCAGGUUAUUUGUUGGAGGCCGUUAGGUGGUGGUUUCGACGGUGGCAACAAGGACGAGAGAGAAAGUCAAAAUUUCAAGUCUUUAGUUUGUUGGUUUAAGACCGUUUCUGGUGAAACAAAUGGCAGAAUUAAGUUGGCGACAUCAAGAAGCUACCAGGGCAGAAGUUUCGCGGCCAAUGAUAGGUAUAUUAAGGUAGAGAGUGUGUGAGAAGGAGAUGGGCCAAAAUGUUAUUUUCAUCCUCAUAAAUUUCUAUUAGGUCUCUCCCCUUAUAAACCAUGUGCUUUUAAUAUAUUUA